AACGAACGCUGGCGGCAUGCCUAACACAUGCAAGUCGAACGAGACCUUCGGGUCUAGUGGCGCACGGGUGCGUAACGCGUGGGAACCUGCCCUUAGGUUCGGAAUAACUCCCCGAAAGGGGUGCUAAUACCGGAUAAUGUCUUCGGACCAAAGAUUUAUCGCCUUUGGAUGGGCCCGCGUUGGAUUAGCUAGUUGGUAGGGUAAAAGCCUACCAAGGCGACGAUCCAUAGCUGGUCUGAGAGGAUGAGCAGCCACACUGGGACUGAGACACGGCCCAGACUCCUACGGGAAGCAGCAGUGGGGAAUAUUGGACAAUGGGCGAAAGCCUGAUCCAGCAAUGCCGCGUGAGUGAUGAAGGCCUUAGGGUUGUAAAGCUCUUUUACCCGGGAUGAUAAUGACAGUACCGGGAGAAUAAGCUCCGGCUAACUCCGUG
rnacentral:rRNA from 1 species